ensembl:lncRNA
UCUGCUCAACACACACACACACACACACACACACACACACACACACACACACACACACACACACACACACACACACACACACACACACACACACACACACACACACACACACACACAGUGCAUGUGCAUGCUCUCUCUUUCUCUCUCUCUCUCUCACACACACACACACACACACAAAGAUGCUGCUCUUAUGUGGCUGGUCACAAACAUGCACACACACACCCUGCCAAACUCUAUUUCUUAAUCACUCCCCGUCUCUGUCACAUGUAUACAGUACAUGAUCAGCUAUGACAUGCAUACAUAUUCAGUUAUGACACACACACACACACACACACGCACACACACACACGCACACACACACACACACACACACACACACACACACGCACACACACACGCACACACACACCCCACUCUAUCUACUUUUCUCUCUUUCUCCUCUGUCCUUCAUUCUUCAUACCAAAGACUGUACAUAACAGUCUGCUAUUUAAUCAUUCACACACAUAUAACACACGUGCACAUCCAGACCCACAUGCACACACAGGCAGGCACACACACACACACACACACACACACACACACACUCGUGGUCACAUUCCCUGUAGGGCAGGCUAAUGACAUGGCCAUUAUGACCCAGCCACAACUCACCCUCUGGCCCUCACAGAAGGCAGAAAAUCCUCCACAAUUAACUAAAAACAGGCCACAGGGAGAACAGCUCAGAAUACAGUCCGAGCCCUUCUCGACUCGACCGGCGGCUCAGAAUACAGCCAGACCCCUUCUCGACUCGACCGACGCCUCAGUGACGACGCUCCUCUUUUCAAAAUAUUCCUCAGCCUAGCGUGGCUCUCACGGCUGCCUACACCAACUUUUUACCAAGUUUUCACAUUGUGUGGCAUUUCAAACCACCCUUUUUUAGCAUGGGAUUAUUUUAUUAUAUUCAUGAAAUGAUUACUUCUUUAUUGUUAGUGUCAUAAAAGGGGGAAUCACAUGUACGGUCUGAAUGAACUCGGCAGUGGUGCUCCCUAACUCUGAAUGUAUUUUGACUGUAAAGUUCUUUUCUGGAGAAAAGCUUGUAUAUUUUAAUAGGCCGGAGGGAACAAUUCUGGCGUUCACGUCUUAACGUGAAUCCUUUCAGGACCAAAUACAUCAUUAAAGGGAACCUUUUGAAGGUCUUGCUUUUCUAUCCGGCUCCUGCAAAACACAAACCGGUGACAACAACAGUCACAGCUCCAGAUCUGCCACAGACAAAAAAAAAAAGCAUUCAGUAAAAACAAAAAAACACUUGAAAUGCAAUCAGUUCCCAUGGCCAUUUAGCAGGCUGUGCUCCAUUUUUCAAAAGACAUGUAAGCGGAAACAAACCCGGCACAAAUGAACUGAGAACUGCUCAUUACAGGAGAGACACUAGCUUAAAGGGGCCGCGGGAUCCUCGUGGGCUGGCAGUCAGAGAAUCCAGAGCACAGCUGGAUAUAUCCCAUGUCAGCUCAGAGAGCGAAAAAAUGAAUCUAAUCUUUGCUGACACAACUGGGAGAAUCUCUCAGUGUGUGUGUGUGUGUGUGUUAUGUGUGUGUGUGCGUGUGUGUGUGUUAUGUGUGCGUGUGCGUGUUAUGUGUGCGUGUGUGUGUGUGUGAGAGAGGGAGAGAGCAUGAAUGCAUGUCGUCAGAGGCAAAGACAGUGAAUAAGGGAGCAUGUGCGCGAGAGUGUGUGUGUGUGUGUG